rnacentral:rRNA from 1 species
GAGGAAGUAAAAGUCGUAACAAGGUUUCCGUAGGUGAACCUGCGGAAGGAUCAUUAAAGAAUCGCCCCGUUUUUUAUAAAUGGGUUCUAUUCCCAAACCGUGUAUACAUACCUUUGUUGCUUUGGCAGGCCGCCUCCGGGCGUCGGCUCCGGCUGACAGUGCCUGCCAGAGGACCCAAACUCUGUGUUUAGUGAUGUCUGAGUACUAUAUAAUAGUUAAAACUUUCAACAACGGAUCUCUUGGUUCUGGCAUCGAUGAAGAACGCAGCGAAAUGCGAUAAGUAAUGUGAAUUGCAGAAUUCAGUGAAUCAUCGAAUCUUUGAACGCACAUUGCGCCCCUUGGUAUUCCGAGGGGCAUGCCUGUUCGAGCGUCAUUAUAACCACUCAAGCCUGGCUUGGUAUUGGGGUUCGCGGGUUCGCGGCCCUUAAAAUCAGUGGCGGUGCCGUCUGGCUCUAAGCGUAGUAAAUCUCUCGCUAUAGGGUCCUGGCGGUUGCUUGCCAAAACCCCCCUAUUUUCUCAGGUUGACCUCGGAUCAGGUAGGGAUACCCGCUGAACUUAAGCAUAUCAAUAAGCGGAGG